UACGUAGGGUGCAAGCGUUAAUCGGAAUUACUGGGCGUAAAGGGUGCGCAGGCGGCGUCGCAAGUCAGGCGUGAAAUCCCCGGGCUUAACCUGGGAACUGCACUUGAAACUACGAUGCUGGAGUAUGGCAGAGGGAGGUGGAAUUCCACGUGUAGCGGUGAAAUGCGUAGAGAUGUGGAGGAACACCGAUGGCGAAGGGCAGCCUCCUGGGCCAAUACUGACGCUCAUGCACGAAAGCGUGGGGAGCAAACAGG
rnacentral:rRNA from 1 species